AUAUAAGAAAAUAACUAGAGAAAAUCUCGAAUGGCUUUGAGGUUUCAGAGAAAUCCUAGAAAUGAGAUGGCAUGGAAGAAUGUCUGGUCUCGAGUCGGAGAUGGCCAGAGAUAGACUCCUAAAACUUGGACAUACCGGAGCAAGGCCAGAGAGGCCAUAAAACCAUGGAUCUCUAGAGAAUAUGAACGGACACCACCAAGGUCAGACCUCAAAAUCUCGAACACCUAGGGUUUAGAGGUUAAUGGAGGUGUGUAAAGACUGCCCAUGGCCUAAGAAGCCAUGGACUCCAGUGAGAUUAUGGUCGGAAAAGGGUGAGAGGUGAUUAAGGUUUGAGAGCGUUUGAGGAAGAAAAAGGUUUGAGGGUUGUGUGUUUGAGAGAAAU
rnacentral:lncRNA from 1 species